rnacentral:rRNA from 1 species
GACAGAGGAUGCAAGCGUUAUCCGGAAUGAUUGGGCGUAAAGCGUCUGUAGGUGGCUUUUAAGUCUGCCGUCAAAUCCCAGGGCUCAACCCUGGACAGGCGGGUGGAAACUACCAGCUGGAGUACGGUAGGGGCAGAGGGAAUUUCCGGUGGAGCGGUGAAAUGCGUAGAGAUCGGAAAGAACACCAACGGCGAAAGCAUCUGGCUGG